rfam:Felis catus isolate Cinnamon breed Abyssinian chromosome E2, whole genome shotgun sequence.
GCUUGGGUGGCUCAGUCGGUAGAGCAUCUGACUUCAGCUCAGGUCAUGAUCUCACGGUUUAUGGGUUCGAGCCCCGCGUUGGGCU